UAUGCACGCUGGCGGCGUGCCUAAUACAUGCAAGUCGAGCGAACAGACGAGUGGCUGGCUCCGGUGACGUUAGGGGCGGGCGGGUGAGUAACACGUGGAUAACCUACCUAUAAGACUGGAAUAACUCCGGGAAACCGUAACUACUACCUAAGAACAUAGUAAAACGCAUGGGUCAAUAGUGAAAUAGGGCUUUGCGGUCACCUAUAGGUGGAUCGGCGACUCAUUAGCUAGUUGGUAGGGUAACGGCUUACCAAGGCAACGAUCCGUAGCCGAGCUGAGAGGGUGAUCGGCCACACUGGAACUGAGACACGGUCCAGACUCCUACGGGAGGCAGCAGUGGGGAAUCUUGGACAAUGGGCGAAAGCCUGACGCAGCAACGCCGCGUGAGUGAUGAAGGUCUUCGGGUCGUAAAACUCUGUUAUUCGGAAAGAACAAAUGUGUCCGUAAAUAUGCACGUCUUGACGGUACCUAAACAGAAAGCACCGGCUAACUACGUG
rnacentral:rRNA from 1 species